CUUUUUUUUUUUUUUUUUGAAGUUUUGGGGUAGCAAGCUUUACUUGUUUUUUAGAAGUUGCUAUUCAGAGAGUUAGAAUAUCUUUGGACUUGAGAAUGAUAACUUGUUUUCUUGGUUUACAGGUUGUGGACGUACCUAAUGUUUCGUGGGAUGCCAUUGGACUGAAUUUUAGCAUUUUUUUCUCUCAAUCUUUUUCCUUUUUUUUUUUUUGGUUUAAACAGACCAUGGCAUGGAUACUAGAUGAGUACUCAAAAGUUUCAUGGCUACUCACCUGCAGUAGUGACUGGAAAGCCUAUUGAUAUUGGUGGAUCACUAGGAAGAGAUGCAGCAACGGGAAGAGGAGUACUUUUUGCAACAGAGGCAUUACUCAAUGAGUAUGGAAAGAGCGUCUCCGGACAACAGUUUGUUAUACAGGUGGACUUUUACUGAACACAAAAAGUUUAUAUGGUUGAGAUGUUUGAGAAAUUUGGGAUGUCACCUUCUAAAGGCGUUCUCUUUUAUGGACCACCUGGCUGUGGGAAAACCCUUCUCGCCAAGGCAAUUGCCAAUGAAUGCAGUACUCAUCAGUAUCCGGCGCAACAAUGCAGUACUCAUCAGGGUCUGUCGAAUAUUUGCUCGUUCUAUUUCAGUUUUUAUGAACCGUAUAAGCAAUUCUACUUUAGCACAUAACCUCA